CAUUAAAUUGGGUGAAUUUAAUUAUUUUUAUAGGGAUUAUUUGACUGAAAUCACUGUUUCUGGUUCUCACUGUUUUAAGUAUUUAACGCCACGAGUGAAAUUGUAAAAGCUGCAGCAGUGGACGUGAUUGAAAUUAACAAUUUGCCCAAAUUGUAGGUGGUAAUAUAAAUUUCAUACCAUAAUUUUUAGUAUUUACACCACAUUUGUUUCAAAUCUAGAUCUUCGUAGUGGCUUGAAUGCGUAAGGAUCCAAAGUUUGAACUGCGUGAAUUUUAAUAGCACUGAACCGUUAUUGGGGAGGUAAGGAAAUUGGCCAACUUCGAAAUCUUGAUCCACCAUGGUUAUUCAGUAUUGCGUGUCGUCACUAAAAUUCAAAUGUGGCGGUACAAAUUUAUUUGUAAAGAAAUAACUUGCAAAACAUUCUGCUGAGAAGAAUUGCUGUUUACUCCGUACUCCAGUUUUACAGAUCGCGUUGGAUUACAAUUUCAUCAGUCUGCCUCCAGAUUAGAGGUUAAACAUUGUGGUAGUGGAGGCAGUAUUGACUGCUGUAAAAUAGUAACACUUGGACAGAAGUCUGCACAUUCCUACAGGACAGGCAAUACAGCAAACAUGUGGCAUUCAAGAAACAAUCGACUGGCCAGUAUUACUUACUAACUACAAUAUUCAUCAGUUAUUUUUUGACGCAGUGUAUGUAAUUCAGUGGCGUUUUGCUGUCAGACAUGAUUGAAUUUAGAGAACAAAAGGAAAUGCAAAAACUAGGCUGAGGCACGAUAGCUCCUGAAGUCAUAAAGAUUGCAGUCAUUCUGAAAGGAAAGCUAACUGAUGUAUAAAACAAAUGUAAUUCAGUACUCCCUUGGACGCAAUGAUGGCACUGUGUUAUUGUGUUUAAAUAAACAUUAACCAAGGAUAUAUUGGCACCAUGCAGUUUGUAGUAAAGUGAUUAAACAAUUUGUCGUAGCAGUGCAUUGUAUCGCAGUUUGUACGUCUUUCGUUGUAAACAGAAUCCUGCUGCAAGGAGAUUACCUGAUAUGGAGGCUGUGCAUGCUGCACAGGCUGUGGGUACGGCAGAGGUUGUGCACGUACAGCUGGUUGGUAAGCUGCUGGAGACGGUGGAGGCCUUGGUGUUGCAGCUGCUGUCUGUGGAACAAAG